GACGAACGCUGGCGGCGUGCUUAACACAUGCAAGUCGAGCGGAAAGGCCACUUCGGUGGUACUCGAGCGGCGAACGGGUGAGUAACACGUGAGUAAUCUGCCCUUGGCUUUGGGAUAGCCACCGGAAACGGUGAUUAAUACCGAAUAUGACACAUGGUCGCAUGGUUGUGUGUGGAAAGUUUUUCGGCCAGGGAUGUGCUCGCGGCCUAUCAGCUUGAUGGUGAGGUAAUGGCUCACCAUGGCUUCGACGGGUAGCCGGCCUGAGAGGGUGACCGGUCACACUGGGACUGAGACACGGCCCAGACUCCUACGGGAGGCAGCAGUGGGGAAUAUUGCACAAUGGGCGAAAGCCUGAUGCAGCGACGCCGCGUGAGGGAUGACGGCCUUCGGGUUGUAAACCUCUUUCAGCAGGGAAGAAGCGAAAGUGACGGUACCUGCAGAAGAAGCACCGGCUAACUACGUG
rnacentral:rRNA from 1 species